rnacentral:rRNA from 1 species
UUAAGCGACUAAGCGUACACGGUGGAUGCCUAGGCAGUCAGAGGCGAUGAAGGGCGUGCUAAUCUGCGAUAAGCGUCGGUAAGCUGAUAUGAAGCGUUACAACCGACGAUACCCGAAUGGGGAAACCCAGUGCAAUUCGUUGCACUAUUGCAUGGUGAAUACAUAGCCAUGCAAGGCGAACCGGGGGAACUGAAACAUCUAAGUACCCCGAGGAAAAGAAAUCAACCGAGAUUCCCCCAGUAGCGGCGAGCGAACGGGGAAGAGCCCAGAGUCUGAAUCAGCUGGUGUGUUAGUGGAAGCGUCUGGAAAGUCGCACGGUACAGGGUGAUAGUCCCGUACACAAAAACACACCUUCUGUGAACUCGAUGAGUAGGGCGGGACACGUGACAUCCUGUCUGAAUAUGGGGGGACCAUCCUCCAAGGCUAAAUACUCCUGACUGACCGAUAGUGAACCAGUACCGUGAGGGAAAGGCGAAAAGAACCCCGGCGAGGGGAGUGAAAUAGAACCUGAAACCGUGUACGUACAAGCAGUGGGAGCACCUUCGUGGUGUGACUGCGUACCUUUUGUAUAAUGGGUCAGCGACUUAUAUUUUGUAGCAAGGUUAACCGAAUAGGGGAGCCGUAGGGAAACCGAGUCUUAACUGGGCGUCUAGUUGCAAGGUAUAGACCCGAAACCCGGUGAUCUAGCCAUGGGCAGGUUGAAGGUUGGGUAACACUAACUGGAGGACCGAACCGACUAAUGUUGAAAAAUUAGCGGAUGACUUGUGGCUGGGGGUGAAAGGCCAAUCAAACCGGGAGAUAGCUGGUUCUCCCCGAAAGCUAUUUAGGUAGCGCCUCGUGAACUCAUCUUCGGGGGUAGAGCACUGUUUCGGCUAGGGGGUCAUCCCGACUUACCAAACCGAUGCAAACUCCGAAUACCGAAGAAUGUUAUCACGGGAGACACACGGCGGGUGCUAACGUCCGUCGUGAAGAGGGAAACAACCCAGACCGCCAGCUAAGGUCCCAAAGUCAUGGUUAAGUGGGAAACGAUGUGGGAAGGCAUAGACAGCCAGGAUGUUGGCUUAGAAGCAGCCAUCAUUUAAAGAAAGCGUAAUAGCUCACUGGUCGAGUCGGCCUGCGCGGAAGAUGUAACGGGGCUAAACCAUGCACCGAAGCUGCGGCAGCGACGCUUAGGCGUUGUUGGGUAGGGGAGCGUUCUGUAAGCCGUUGAAGGUGGCCUGUGAGGGCUGCUGGAGGUAUCAGAAGUGCGAAUGCUGACAUAAGUAACGAUAAUGCGGGUGAAAAACCCGCACGCCGGAAGACCAAGGGUUCCUGUCCAACGUUAAUCGGGGCAGGGUGAGUCGACCCCUAAGGCGAGGCUGAAAAGCGUAGUCGAUGGGAAACAGGUUAAUAUUCCUGUACUUGGUGUUACUGCGAAGGGGGGACGGAGAAGGCUAGGCUAGCCGGGCGACGGUUGUCCCGGUUUAAGCAUGUAGGCGGAGUGACUUGGUAAAUCCGGUUGCUUAUCAACGCUGAGGUGUGAUGACGAUGCACUACGGUGCAGAAGUAGUUGAUGCCAAGCUUCCAGGAAAAGCCUCUAAGCAUCAGGUAACAUUGAAUCGUACCCCAAACCGACACAGGUGGUCAGGUAGAGAAUACUCAGGCGCUUGAGAGAACUCGGGUGAAGGAACUAGGCAAAAUGGUGCCGUAACUUCGGGAGAAGGCACGCUGGCAUUAGGUAAAGAGACUUGCUCUCGGCGCCGAAGCCAGUCGCAGAUACCAGCUGGCUGCAACUGUUUAAUAAAAACACAGCACUGUGCAAACACGAAAGUGGACGUAUACGGUGUGACGCCUGCCCGGUGCUGGAAGGUUAAUUGAUGGGGUCAGCCGCAAGGCGAAGCUCUUGAUCGAAGCCCCAGUAAACGGCGGCCGUAACUAUAACGGUCCUAAGGUAGCGAAAUUCCUUGUCGGGUAAGUUCCGACCUGCACGAAUGGCGUAAUGAUGGCCAGGCUGUCUCCACCCGAGACUCAGUGAAAUUGAACUCGCUGUGAAGAUGCAGUGUACCCGCGGCAAGACGGAAAGACCCCGUGAACCUUUACUAUAGCUUGACACUGAACAUUGAGCCUUGAUGUGUAGGAUAGGUGGGAGGCAUCGAAGUGUGGACGCCAGUCUGCAUGGAGCCAACCUUGAAAUACCACCCUUUAAUGUUUGAUGUUCUAACUCGGCCCCAUAAUCUGGGGUGAGGACAGUGUCUGGUGGGUAGUUUGACUGGGGCGGUCUCCUCCCAAAGAGUAACGGAGGAGCACGAAGGUUAGCUAAUCACGGUCGGACAUCGUGAGGUUAGUGCAAAGGCAUAAGCUAGCUUGACUGCGAGAGUGACGGCUCGAGCAGGUACGAAAGUAGGUCUUAGUGAUCCGGUGGUUCUGAAUGGAAGGGCCAUCGCUCAACGGAUAAAAGGUACUCCGGGGAUAACAGGCUGAUACCGCCCAAGAGUUCAUAUCGACGGCGGUGUUUGGCACCUCGAUGUCGGCUCAUCACAUCCUGGGGCUGAAGUAGGUCCCAAGGGUAUGGCUGUUCGCCAUUUAAAGUGGUACGCGAGCUGGGUUUAGAACGUCGUGAGACAGUUCGGUCCCUAUCUGCCGUGGGCGUUGGAAGAUUGAGAGGGGCUGCUCCUAGUACGAGAGGACCGGAGUGGACGAAUCACUGGUGUUCGGGUUGUCAUGCCAAUGGCAUUGCCCGGUAGCUAAAUUCGGAAGAGAUAACCGCUGAAAGCAUCUAAGCGGGAAACUUGCCUCGAGAUGAGUCUUCCCUGGGGCUUUAAGCCCCCUGAAGGAACGUUAAAGACUAUGACGUUGAUAGGCUGGGUGUGUAAGUGCAGCGAUGCAUUGAGCUAACCAGUACUAAUGAUCCGUGAGGCUUAACCUU